CACGAACUGCGCAAACGUUAUUCGGAAUCACUGGGCUUAAAGAGUUCGUAGGCGGCGCGUUAAGUCGGGUGUGAAAUCCCUCGGCUCAACCGAGGAAUUGCGUCCGAAACUAGCGUGCUCGAGUAAGAUAGAGGUGAGCGGAACUGAUGGUGGAGCGGUGAAAUGCGUUGAUAUCAUCAGGAACACCGGUGGCGAAAGCGGCUCACUGGGUCUUUACUGACGCUGAGGAACGAAAGCUAGGGGAGCGAACGGGAUUAGAUACCCCGGUAGUCCUAGCCGUAAACGAUGAGCACUAGGUUGAGGGGACCUCCACAUCCCCCCGGCCGUAGCGAAAGUGUUAAGUGCUCCGCCUGGGGAGUAUGGUCGCAAGGCUGAA
rnacentral:rRNA from 1 species